UUUCUUAAUGCUCAACCCAUAAAACCCCGGGAUUAAGAGAAGAAAGAGAGAGAGGACAGGGGAGAGGGUGGAGAGUAGACAGCGAGAGACUGAGAUGAAAGUUUCUUGUACGCCGCGUAGAGGACUGAGGCGGCCGUCGCUAGGCAAACGUCCAGGGCCCCUCUGGGAUGAUGUAAACUUACUCAGCUCCAAAUACAGCCAGGAUCCUGUCCUGCAAUCAAAAGGACCCCUUUUUUCCCACAAGAAAAGUCUUAUGGAUACACAAACUUCUCCUUAAACCAGUGUCAAGUUUUCAUUGCAAGGAAGUAGCAGCAGUGUUUAAGAGUUCGCUCCAAAUGCUCAUCUUCUUCUUCGGCCCUGGAAGUCAAACAGGAAACAAAAUUAUUUUUCUUCGUGGAGGGCAGAGCAGCACUGCCCUCUCGCCCGGCAUUUGGAGCCCCAGCGGGGACGGGGAUCUCGGGGCCAGCGGGAGGCUGCCCCGGCCCACCCGAGACCUCUGGACUGAACUUUCGGCGAACUUCUCGGCCCCUCAGCAGGCGGCAGAACCUGGAUCCCGACCCCACCGCCC